rnacentral:rRNA from 1 species
GACGAACGCUGGCGGCGUGCUUAACACAUGCAAGUCGAACGGAAAGGCCUCUUUCGGGGGGUACUCGAGUGGCGAACGGGUGAGUAACACGUGAGUAACCUGCCCUUGACUUUGGGAUAACUUCAGGAAACUGGGGCUAAUACCGGAUAGGAGCUCCUGCUGCAUGGUGGGGGUUGGAAAGUUUCGGCGGUUGGGGAUGGACUCGCGGCUUAUCAGCUUGUUGGUGGGGUAGUGGCUUACCAAGGCUUUGACGGGUAGCCGGCCUGAGAGGGUGACCGGCCACAUUGGGACUGAGAUACGACCCAGACUCCUACGGGAGGCAGCAGUGGGGAAUAUCGCACAAUGGGUGGAAGCCUGAUGCAGCAACGCCGUGUGCGGGAUGACGGCCUUCGGGUUGUAAACCGCUUUCGCUCAUGACGAAGCUUUGUGUGACGGUAGUGGGUAAAGAAGCACCGGCUAACUACGUG